rnacentral:misc_RNA from 1 species
GUAUUUGAUUUUAUGAUAAUAAUAAUUUAAGUGAUUAAAAUUUAGAAAUGUUUGAGAAAGGAAAAACUCUGACAGACCUAAGAUUUCAAAAUUUGAACUAUUUCAAUUUUUUUCAUCUCUAAAUCUGAUGAUAAUUUUCAGAAAUCUGUCAAAGUACACAAUCAGUAAAAUGCACACAAAAUGAAUAUGGAUUAUUGUCCAUAAUAUAUAUUUAUGGAAUAAUUCAUCUCUUCUAAUGAUCCUUCCGCAGGUUCACCUACGGAAA